CCCCUGUCUGCAGCCUGCAGAUUUGGGCGGGUAUGCAUCUAGGACGGUGCUGCACGUGCAGGCCCGCCCACACUGCUUCUCAUUGGUUAGUGGCGUGAAGUCAUGAUGACGUCGAUUAUAGCAAGUUUUCAUUUCCGAUGUUUAUCGCUGCAUGGAAACCAUUUCAGUAUUCACUGAGCUUUCUGACAGCAGGGACCUUUGAUUUUACAGAGGUUAGUGAAAUAGCCUAUACAAUAGAAACCCCCCAUAUAAUUAAAAGUAAACUAACUCAGUAUUAAUUUUUAACUUAGCCUGUCAUACAUCAGUGUCUGCUGCUUUUGGAGAAUUCCCCCUUUGAUGUUUGUUUGUUUGUUUGUUUUCUUUUUUUUUAAUACAUACUGUUCAUUGAAGCUUCAAUUACCAAAUGCUUAAAUUUAGCAUUUUAAAAUAAAUGUUUUUAACUAUAGAUAAAUUCAUUACAUGUAUCAAUCUAAACAAGUGGAUUUCAAUUAUGGUCCUAAGGGAUGUCAAUAAGAACAAACUGUUUUUAUGAGACUUUAUAUUUUAAACUUUUGAAGGUCAGAGAUGCUGAAAGAGCAACUCCAGUAAAAGAGGAGCGUAAAGAAGCAGGUGUUGGUUCCCAUUUCAAAUCUUGAACCUAAAUAACAGGGGUUUGAAAAUGAUGCUACUCUUGUUCUUACUCUCCAAUUUAGAGGUGAUGAAAUCCCCCGGCCUGUGGAUUAUUUGACCAAGAUGCCACCUGACCUUACAUCCUCUGGCAGAUCCUGAUGGGAGUCGUUACAAAGAGGACAAUAUGGCUUUAUGGUGACUUUCACUGACAUGCAAGGUUUUCAGAGACGUUUUCAGCAAGCCCAAGUUCAGAGAAAAGAUCCCCUUUGUAUGUCCAAACAGUAAUUUUUUUUAAUCUAAAUUGUGAGUACUUUAAAAGAUACUUGAGAAAGUCUGUCUGUCUGUCUGUCUGUCCUUCUAUUUCUGUUUGUUCGUUUGUGCAAUCUAUCUAUCUGUCUGUUCUUCCUAUCUAUCUGUCUGUCUAUCUAUCUCUACCUAUCUGUCAUGUCUAUCCGUCCAUCUGUCUGUUUGUCUGUGUCUGAUAGACGGUAUUGCCUUCAAAACUUUCAGCUUGAACUUUGCUGCAAACUGAAAUUCUUCAAACUUCUAUUUCAAACUUUUAGGAUAGGCUUUCUCAAGUCAAAUUUAAGCUUGUGUUGCUUGUGUUAACAAACUUUUUUAACUGGUUUAUGUUGUUCAUAAACAAAAAGUGAGUCUCUUAGGUACUUUACAGACAAAGCCAAUAACACUCAAGCAUAUUUUGUCUAACAUUUUCCUGUAUUAUGUGUAACAUAUACAUAAAAAAAUUCCUUGCAUGACUCUUUACUAUGUUUAUGCCUAUUUCCAAUUUGCCAAUUUCUUCAAAAUGAUUCAAUAUUGUUUGUUCUGUAUUUUAUCUAAAUUAGGUGUUGUGAACUGGAGUGCAUUUUCCAGAAAAUAUGGGCAAGAGCUCCGGGUGCCUUACUCGCCGACUUUGAAAUAUACAAGGACUGCCCACCUGGAUAUGUAGGUGAUGGCAGAAGGGGAGUCCUGAAUGGGUUUUAUAACGACAAGGAGGUUCAGGGCUAUUGCUCAUUUGAUUGUUUUUUCAAUGAUGGAGGGGAA